CUACGUGCCAGCAGCCGCGGUAAUACGUAUGUCACAAGCGUUAUCCGGAUUUAUUGGGCGUAAAGCGCGUCUAGGUGGUUAUGUAAGUCUGAUGUGAAAAUGCAGGGCUCAACUCUGUAUUGCGUUGGAAACUGUAUGACUAGAGUACUGGAGAGGCAAGCGGAACUACAAGUGUAGAGGUGAAAUUCGUAGAUAUUUGUAGGAAUGCCGAUGGGGAAGCCAGCUUACUGGACAGAUACUGACGCUAAAGCGCGAAAGCGUGGGUAGCAAACAGGAUUAGAUACCCUGGUAGUCCACGCGGUAAACGAUGAAUACUAGGUGUUGGUGCCCAAAGGGCAUCGGUGCCGUCGCAAACGCAAUAAGUAUUCCACCUGGGGAGUACGUUCGCAAGAAUGAAACUCAAAGGAAUUGACGGGGACCCGCACAAGCAGUGGAGCAUGUGGUUUAAUUCGAAGCAACGCGAAGAACCUUACCAAAUCUUGACAUCC
rnacentral:rRNA from 1 species